rnacentral:piRNA from 1 species
UCACGGUGAUGACUUCAGGUACGGAGAC